UUACCAGGUAUUCUGGGAUUGGGGUAUAAAUCUUAAGGCUCUCUUUGAUGGUCACAGUAGCACCAGAACCCAAGGAGCUCGGAGAAAAUUAAACAUGUGGUUGAGGGCUCUCCUACUUAUCAGUGUAACCUCAAGUUUGGUCAACUCUCACGGGAUCUACCGCGCAGUGAACCCAAGAUUGAUCCCUUGGUGGUUCGCAAGAUUUCCAAACUCCAGAGUUUUGCUCAACAGAGAUUUGUUUAACCAUGUCUAUCGGAAAUUAAUUCUGCGGGAUCCAUACUGGCACAGGCGGAUACAUGCUCAUAGGCACAGGAUUUUCCAUCCUAUACACCUACAUAGACAUGUUCAUCGAGUACAAGUCCCACCUCUUCUUUCUCACAGGGUAAUUAGAAAGAUUCCAGCUCCCCCUGUUGUGAAAACAGCGUCCGUAGAAUCCGAUAAGCAUUUGAUCGGAAAAGCGGAGACGUUUGUACGUUACUCAAGUCCUUCUAUUCCGAGAUACAACACUCCCUGGGUAAAGCAUUCAUCAUCUUACCAGGAUUAUGGGCACGUAGGUUCUCCUUCCAUCUAUGACCGGCAAGUAGCUGGCGGAGUAUCUGGAAUUUAUGACGAAGAGGUUUCCUUGCCUGUACUUUCUUCUGCUGCAGGAAGUAUAGAUAGUUCUGUUGCUCCAAUCCCUGACUACCCAGUCGCGCAAGCCCCCCUAGAUAGUUCUUCUGUUGCUCCAAUCCCUGACUACCCAUUCGCGCAAGCCCCCCUUCCACAGCUAUCUUCCUCAACCACUGGAGCCGACAAGCAUUUGAUCGGAAAAUCAGAAACAUUUGUACGAUAUUACAGUCCAACAAUUGAUAGAUUCAAUACUCCCUGGAAAAAGGUUGCAUCCAGCUACAGAGACUAUGGGCAUGUUAACAUUCCUCCCGUUUAUGACCGACAAGUACUUGGUGCAGGACCUGGAAUUUACGAUGACGAGUUAUCUCUAAAUACCUUGCCUUAUGGCGCGGGCGGUUUAGGCAGUUUUUCAUAUGGUCCAAAUGAUGGCGGUUUCGUUGCUGGCGGUGGUAUUGAUGGCGGUUUCGUUGCUGGCGGUGGUGUGGAUGGCGGUUUCGUUGCCGGCGGUGGUGUGGAUGGUGGUUUCGUUACCGGCGGUGGUGUGGAUGGCGGUUUCUAUGCUGGUGGUGGUUCCGUGGAUGGCGGUUAUUCGGCCUAUUCUGGCGGAGGACUGAGUACUUACGGUGCAAACUAUGGACCCGGGGCCCAGACAACACUACGCCGAGAUGUUUUCUAAAGCAAGUCUGACUAUACAUUACUACUUGAUAAAAGGAAAAUGAGGGAGGGAUAGAGACAUUAAAAUAGGACAGAAAAGGACCAUGUGAUACCUGAAAAGUCAACACAUUUUGAAGUUUUAUACAAUAAUUAUUAUUAAAAUGAAAAUUUAGGGAA